GGGGACGAGUGGAUUCGACAGGGGAAGUAUCGAUCCGGGAUUGCAGGCCGAGGUUCCUCAUCGCCCUCGUAAAACCGGUGAGGAAAAAAGAACCGACGAACCAGUUUUGGUUGCGGCCUAACCUAAACCAUUAGGCCACGUCCAACCUUGCCUCCCCCUGAGGGGCGGGGAUUGGGCGCCGAAAUCUCAGGGUGCAGCAAUCCCGAUGACGAUAGGGAGCGCUUAAGAAAACAUCGUCUGGUUCGGUCGGACCGUGCCGGUUCGGGCCGGUCGGACGAGAUCAAAAGCCGGAUAAGCCUGUAGCACAUUCUGGACGAUCUUCUUUUGGACGGGGAGUUCGACUCUCCCCCGUCUCCACCA
rnacentral:tmRNA from 1 species